UACGUAGGGGGCAAGCGUUGUCCGGAUUUAUUGGGCGUAAAGAGCGUGUAGGCGGCCAGGCAGGUCCGCUGUGAAAACUCGAGGCUCAACCUCGAGACGCCGGUGGAAACCAUCAGACUAGAGUCCGGAAGAGGAGAGUGGAAUUCCUGGUGUAGCGGUGAAAUGCGCAGAUAUCAGGAAGAACACCCGUGGCUAAGGCGGCUCUCUAGUACGGUACUGACGCUGAGACGCGAAAGCGUGGGGAGCGAACAGG
rnacentral:rRNA from 1 species